GACGAACGCUGGCGGCGUGCUUAACACAUGCAAGUCGAACGGAAAGGCCCUGCUUUUGUGGGGUGCUCGAGUGGCGAACGGGUGAGUAACACGUGAGUAACCUGCCCUUGACUUUGGGAUAACUUCAGGAAACUGGGGCUAAUACCGGAUAGGAGCUCCUGCUGCAUGGUGGGGGUUGGACAGUUUCGGCGGUUGGGGAUGGACUCGGGGCUUAUCAGCUUGUUGGUGGGGUAGUGGCUUACCAAGGCUUUGACGGGUAGCCGGCCUGAGAGGGUGACCGGGCACAUUGGUACUGAGAGACGGACCAGACUCCUACGGGAGGCAGCAGUGGGGAAUAUUGCACAGUGGGCGGAAGCCUGAUGCAGCAACGCCGCGUGCGGGAUGACGGCCUUCGGGGUGUAAACCGCUUUCGCCUGUGACGAAGCGUGAGUGACGGUAAUGGGUAAAGAAGCACCGGCUAACUACGUG
rnacentral:rRNA from 1 species